rnacentral:lncRNA from 1 species
AUGGCCCAUCCUUUCUCUGCCCAGACAGCCUACUUCCCCAUCUGCAGUCCUUUGACUUCUCAGUUCAACACCCUGGCCCUGGGGAGCGAGCCUCAAGACUCCACUCCCAGGAGAACCCUCCAGGGGGCGCUCUCAUCCCCAGAGUCAAAGCUGGGCAGCGAGACUGGGAAAAAUGACUGGAAUAGAGGAACUAGUUCUGUGACCUGGACAAAAAGACAAGAAAGCAGGAGCCGUUCCAGAUGUUUCUCCUCCCUCCCGCCCCCGGCGUGGUCUGAGUGAACCCAGGGACAGGGACAGGAAGAGAUGCUCCCCAGGGACUCUGGUCCUGGCUGAGUCACCUGGCCUGGAUGUCCAGUUCACGCUACCUCUCUGUUACUCACUGACCAAGAAUAUGACUUAAUUCCCCGUGGGCGAUACCACCAGGCAUAUAAAGAAAUGGGUGAUGACCGUGACACAGAAGCUAAAAGCCUCAAUUACCCUUCGUAACAGGAACCGGGGACAUUUUUAUGAAGAGAGAAAUUUUUGCCUCAUAAAUCGCACUUGUGAGAAAUCCAGCCCACGCUGCUGGUGACCUUGUCACAUCUUCCACAGCCAGAGGCAGCCCCACAGAUGGCGGGGAUCACCUCAGCCUCACCCCUGCCCAUUAAGCCCAAGUAUGUGUUCUAGAGAGUGUAUGGGGGUCAGCCAGGGCCAGGAUGAGGCCAGGAUAGGCAGCCGGAAUGCAAGUAUAUUCCCAGCUCUCAACCUGGCUCCCUCUGUUGGUCUCAACUGCAGGGCAUGGGCAUAAGAAGAGGGUCUUUAAAAAGUCUUCUUGACGGGGUCCCACCCCCAGAGAUUCUGAUGUAACUGGUCCAGGGUGGGGCCUGGGCACUGGGAGCUUUAAAAGCCGCCCAGGUGAUUCUGAUGUACAGCCAAGUUGAGAGCUUACCCCUACCCUGCCCUGCCAGUCGAUGAAUCAACAGCAAGCUUUUAGCAAGUGCAAGCUGGUGGGAGGGGGGAGACCAGAAACAGCACACAGUUUCUGCCCAGGCUCAUUUACAUGAAGCCAUAAUGCGGACUCCCCACACCCCACGGGCAACAGAGACCCUGUGAAGAGGCCUGGGUGCAAGCACCUGGGGGAGCAGCUGCACCUGAUCUGAGCCCAGAAGCUUAGGCUGUCUAAAGGCUCCCACCCAUGCAC